rnacentral:misc_RNA from 1 species
UCCUGGUUAACCCAGGCAGUCUCAUUAGAGUUCCCACCUUAAAUGUUGGCAACUAAUGAUAAGGGUUGCGCUCGUUGCGGGACUUAACCCAACACCUCACGGCACGAGCUGACGACAGCCAUGCAGCACCUGUGCAAAAGCCCCGAAGGGAGAUCUCAUCUCUGAGACUGUCUUUUGCAUGUCAAGCCUGGGUAAGGUUCUUCGCGUUGCAUCGAAUUAAACCACAUGCUCCACUGCUUGUGCGGGUCCCCGUCAAUUCUUUUGAGUUUCAGCCUUGCGACUGUACUCCCCAGGCGGUAUACUUAACGCGUUAGCUACGGCACAACUAGGGUUGAGUCCAGUUACACCAAGUAUACAUAGUUUACGGCAAGGACUAC